GCGGGUUGCAUUGUCCCACAUGGCAAAUAAUCCUGUAUUGGUUUUAGCUCUCCCACAACAGGCCUUUGCCGGAUAUUGUGGCUGCGAAUCUUUGCAGAUGUACUACCCACAGACGUAGUUCCAAUCUAACGCCGGGGACCGCCAUGCCUGCACGUCACCCGACAGAUGCCGGUAGAAGAGCCUGCAGAAGGGCUGCCUGGACCCUGACGUGAGGCCACUGCUGAGUCUUCCCCAGCAGCAGGGCCCUUGGGAAGACCACCGCAGUCUCCUAAAAACAGCUUGUUGUCUAGGGAAGAUGUCCACAUGACCCCAGAUUGAAAAGACACGUGGCAAUGGGCCAUGAGGCC